rnacentral:rRNA from 1 species
GCUCGAAAGAGAGCCGUAACACAGGUGCUGCAUGGCUGUCGUCAGCUCGUGUCGUGAGAUGUUGGGUUAAGUCCCGCAACGAGCGCAACCCUUGUCAUUAGUUGCUACAUUCAGUUGGGCACUCUAAUGAGACUGCCGGUGACAAGCCGGAGGAAGUGGGGAUGACGUCAAGUCCUCAUGACCCUUAUAGGUGGGGGCUACACACGUCAUACAAUGGCUGGUACAAAGGGUUGCCAACCCGCGAGGGGGAGCCAAUCCCAUAAAGCCAGUCGUAGUCCGGAUCGUAGUCUGCAACUCGACUACGUGAAGUCGGAAUCGCUAGUAAUCGCGGAUCAGCAUGCCGCGGUGAAUACGUUCUCGGGGUUU